GAUGAAGAACGCAGCGAAGUGCGAUAAGUAAUGUGAAUUGCAGAAUUCAGUGAAUCAUCGAGUCUUUGAACGCACAUUGCGCCCCCUGGUAUUCCGGGGGGCAUGCCUGUCCGAGCGUCAUUGCUGCCCUCAAGCACGGCUUGUGUGUUGGGCCCCCGCCCCCCGGUCCCGGGGGGCGGGCCCGAAAGGCAGCGGCGGCACCGCGUCCGGUCCUCGAGCGUAUGGGGCUUUGUCACCCGCUCUGUAGGCCCGGCCGGCGCCCGCCGGCGACCCCAAUCAAUCUUUUUCAGGUUGACCUCGGAUCAGGUAGGGAUACCCGCUGAACUUAAGCAUAUCAAUAAGCGGAGGA
rnacentral:misc_RNA from 1 species